GCCCCAGUAGCUCAGCGGAUAGAGCAGCAGCCUUCUAAUCUGUCGCGCGCAGGUUCGAUUCCUGCCUGGGGCGCCA
rnacentral:tRNA from 1 species